rnacentral:rRNA from 1 species
UACGGAGGGGGCAAGCGUUGUUCGGAUUUACUGGGCGUAAAGGGUGUGUAGGCGGCUGCGCAAGUCUGAUGUGAAAUCUUCACCGCUCAACGGGAAGAGGUCAUUGGAAACUGCGUGGCUUGAGUAUGGUAGAGGCAAGCGGAAUUCCAGGUGUAGCGGUGGAAUGUGUAGAUAUCUGGAAGAACACCGGUGGCGAAGGCGGCUUGCUGGGCCAUCACUGACGCUGAAACACGAAAGCGUGGGGAGCGAACGGG